AUUGAACGCUGGCGGCAGGCCUAACACAUGCAAGUCGAGCGGAUGAAGGGAGCUUGCUCCUGGAUUCAGCGGCGGACGGGUGAGUAAUGCCUAGGAAUCUGCCUGGUAGUAGGGGAUAACGUCCGGAAACGGGCGCUAAUACCGCAUACGUCCUGAGGGAGAAAGUGGGGGAUCUUCGGACCUCACGCUAUCAGAUGAGCCUAGGUCGGAUUAGCUAGUUGGUGGGGUAAAGGCCUACCAAGGCGACGAUCCGUAACUGGUCUGAGAGGAUGAUCAGUCACACUGGAACUGGGACACGGUCCAGACUCCUACGGGAGGCAGCAGUGGGGAAUAUUGGACAAUGGGCGGAAGCCUGAUCCAGCCAUGCCGCGUGUGUGAAGAAGGUCUUCGGAGUGUAAAGCACUUUAAGUUGGGAGGAAGGGCAGUAAGUUAAUACCUUGCUGUUGUGACGUUACCAACAGAAUAAGCACCGGCUAACUUCGUG
rnacentral:rRNA from 1 species